rnacentral:rRNA from 1 species
GAUGAACGCUGGCGGCGUGCCUAAUACAUGCAAGUCGAGCGAAUGGAUUAAGAGCUUGCUCUUAUGAAGUUAGCGGCGGACGGGUGAGUAACACGUGGGUAACCUGCCCAUAAGACUGGGAUAACUCCGGGAAACCAGGGCUAAUACCGGAGAACAUUUUGAACCGCAUGGUUCGAAAUUGAAAGGAGGCUUCGGCUGUCAAUUAUGGAUGGACCCGCGUCGCAUUAGCUAGUUGGUGAGGUAACGGCUCACCAAGGCAACGAUGCGUAGCCGACCUGAGAGGGUGAUCGGCCACACUGGGACUGAGACACGGCCCAGACUCCUACGGGAGGCAGCAGUAGGGAAUCUUCCGCAAUGGACGAAAGUCUGACGGAGCAACGCCGCGUGAGUGAUGAAGGCUUUCGGGUCGUAAAACUCUGUUGUUAGGGAAGAACAAGUGCUAGUUGAAUAAGCUGACACCUUGACGGUACCUAACCAGAAAGCCACGGCUAACUACGUGCCAGCCGCCGCAGUAA